rnacentral:rRNA from 1 species
GACGUAGGGCGCGAGCGUUGUCCGGAUUUAUUGGGCGUAAAGAGCUCGUAGGCGGCUUGUUGCGUCAGCUGUGAAAACCCGCAGCUCAACUGUGGGCUUGCAGCUGAUACGGGCAGGCUUGAGUUCGGUAGGGGAGACUGGAAUUCCCGGUGUAGUGGUGAAAUGCGUAGAGAUCGGGAGGAACACCCGUGGCGAAGGCGGCCAGCUGGGCCGACCCUGACGCUGAGGCGCGAAGGCGUGGGGAGCGAACGGG